rnacentral:sRNA from 1 species
CGCUAGGUCUCAACCAUCCCGGUCGAUUUUCACAGUUCCCUAAUAACGCGGCGCAUAGAAUCGCAUGAGGCGGGUUCAAUUCGCUAGCUUUGGCACUUCAAUUAUUUUUAAUUUAAUUCGACCAAACAAAAAGAUGCUCUGCAAGCCACCUCAUUUAUUUUGAUUUAUUUAAAACGUGGCUGGUGUCUAAAUUCAAAAAAAAAAACAGCAACAGCACAAAAAAUGACCACAAUAAACAGGCCAUUUUCCAAAACGACAUAAUAAACAAAAAAAUUGGCCUCGAUGAAAGGUGGACAAAAUUGUUUAUGAUCACUAUUAUCAUCAUCAUCAUCGGUCGCUACAACAUUAUUACUUGGUGAAAAAAAUAUCUAUCAGACUAUGGGUGGCCAUACUCCCAGCGUUCUCCAUCCUCGCCACCUCCAUUAAGUGAGGCAAAGUUUUUCAAAAAAAAAAAUCAUUCGUUGCGUAUGUUUGUGUACAUGUGUUUAGUUUUUGCGUUGCGGCAAUAAAAUAAAAAAUAAACAAAUAAAUUUA